rnacentral:tRNA from 1 species
CCCCGCCGUCGCGCAGGGUGCGCACGAGGUUCGCCGUCUCGGCGGUGACGUGCAGGCAGAGCCCGAUGUUCAGGCCAUCGAGCGGGCGC